rnacentral:rRNA from 1 species
CAGUCGCCGCGGUAAUACGUAGGGUGCAAGCGUUAAUCAGAAUUACUGGGCGUAAAGCGUGCGCAGGCGGUUAUAUAAGACAGAUGUGAAAUCCCCGGGCUCAACCUGGGAACUGCAUUUGUGACUGUAUAGCUAGAGUACGGCAGAGGGGGAUGGAAUUCCGCGUGUAGCAGUGAAAUGCGUAGAUAUGCGGAGGAACACCGAUGGCGAAGGCAAUCCCCUGGGCCUGUACUGACGCUCAUGCACGAAAGCGUGGGGAGCAAACAGGAUUAGAUACCCCCGUAGUCCCUGUCUCUUAUAC